rnacentral:RNase_P_RNA from 1 species
UGAGGAACAGGGCCACAGAGACGAGCGUAUUCAGUUACGGUGAAACGCGGUAACCUCCAUCCGGAGCAAGACCAAAUAGGCAGGCGAAGAUGUUGCUCGCAGAGUCUGCGGGUAGGUUGCUUGAAUGCACGGGUAACUGUGCAUCUAGAGGAAUGACUGUCCAAGACAGAACCCGGCUUAUCGGCUAGCUUCAUCU